rnacentral:rRNA from 1 species
AUUGAACGCUGGCGGCAGGCCUAACACAUGCAAGUCGAGCGGAAGAAGGGAGCUUGCUCUUGGAUUCAGCGGCGGACGGGUGAGUAAUGCCUAGGAAUCUGCCUGGUAGUGGGGGAUAACGUCCGGAAACGGGCGCUAAUACCGCAUACGUCCUGAGGGGGAAAGUGGGGGAUCUUCGGACCUCACGCUAUCAGAUGAGCCUAGGUCGGAUUAGCUAGUUGGUGGGGUAAAGGCCUACCAAGGCGACGAUCCGUAACUGGUCUGAGAGGAUGAUCAGCCACACUGGAACUGAGACACGGUCCAGACUCCUACGGGAGGCAGCAGUGGGGAAUUUUGGACAAUGGGCGCAAGCCUGAUCCAGCCAUGCCGCGUGUGUGAUGAAGGUCUUCGGAUUGUAAAGCACUUUAAGUAGGGAAGAAGGGCAGUAAGUUAAUACCUUGCUGUUUUGACGGUACCAGCAGAAUAAGCACCGGCUAACUUCGUG